rnacentral:rRNA from 1 species
GACGAACGCUGGCGGCGUGCUUAACACAUGCAAGUCGAACGAAAAUACCAAGCUUGCUUGGUUGAUUAGUGGCGAACGGGUGAGUAACACGUGAGUAACCUGCCCCUUACUUUCUGGAUAACUGCUCGAAAGGGUAGCUAAUACGGGAUAUUCUGACCAGUCCGCAUGGGUUGGUUUGGAAAGGUUGUUUUUCUGGUGAGGGAUGGGCUCGCGGCCUAUCAGCUUGUUGGUGGGGUGAUGGCCUACCAAGGCUUUGACGGGUAGCCGGCCUGAGAGGGUGGACGGUCACACUGGGACUGAGAUACGGCCCAGACUCCUACGGGAGGCAGCAGUGGGGAAUAUUGCACAAUGGGCGCAAGCCUGAUGCAGCGACGCCGCGUGAGGGAUGAAGGCCUUCGGGUUGUAAACCUCUUUCGUCAGGGAACAAGGCACCGUCUUUUGGUGGUGUUGAGGGUACCUGGAUAAGAAGCGCCGGCUAACUACGUGCCAGCAGCCGCGGUAAUACGUAGGGCGCAAGCGUUGUCCGGAAUUAUUGGGCGUAAAGAGCUCGUAGGCGGCUGGUCGCGUCUGUCGUGAAAACUUCCGGCUCAACCGGGGGCUUGCGGUGGGUACGGGCCGGCUAGAGUGCGGUAGGGGUAACUGGAACUCCUGGUGUAGCGGUGGAAUGCGCAGAUAUCAGGAAGAACACCGAUGGCGAAGGCAGGUUACUGGGCCGUUACUGACGCUGAGGAGCGAAAGCGUGGGGAGCGAACAGG